GAUGAACGCUGGCGGCGUGCUUAACACAUGCAAGUCGAACGAAGCGCUUAAACGGAUUUCUUCGGAUUGAAGUUUUUGCGACUGAGUGGCGGACGGGUGAGUAACGCGUGGGUAACCUGCCUCAUACAGGGGGAUAACAGUUAGAAAUGACUGCUAAUACCGCAUAAGCGCACAGUGCUGCAUGGCACAGUGUGAAAAACUCCGGUGGUAUGAGAUGGACCCGCGUCAGAUUAGCUAGUUGGUGGGGUAACGGCCUACCAAGGCGACGAUCAGUAGCCGGCCUGAGAGGGUGAACGGCCACAUUGGGACUGAGACACGGCCCAAACUCCUACGGGAGGCAGCAGUGGGGAAUAUUGCACAAUGGGGGAAACCCUGAUGCAGCGACGCCGCGUGAGCGAAGAAGUAUUUCGGUAUGUAAAGCUCUAUCAGCAGGGAAGAAAAUGACGGUACCUGACUAAGAAGCACCGGCUAAAUACGUGCCAGCAGCCGCGGUAAUACGUAUGGUGCAAGCGUUAUCCGGAUUUACUGGGUGUAAAGGGAGCGUAGACGGUUGUGUAAGUCUGGUGUGAAAGCCCGGGGCUCAACCCCGGGACUGCAUUGGAAACUAUGUAACUAGAGUGUCGGAGAGGUAAGCGGAAUUCCUAGUGUAGCGGUGAAAUGCGUAGAUAUUAGGAGGAACACCAGUGGCGAAGGCGGCUUACUGGACGAUCACUGACGUUGAGGCUCGAAAGCGUGGGGAGCAAACAGGAUUAGAUACCCUGGUAGUCCACGCCGUAAACGA
rnacentral:rRNA from 1 species